UCUUUCCCCUCUAUCUUCUCUCCUACCAUAUUAUCCUACUUUUUCAUUUCUCCCCACUUCUCUCAAAUGAUUUCCUUCUACUUUUCUUCCUUAACAAAGGAAGGGUAAAUCUAACAAAAAGUGAGGAAAAACAGAGUCCAAUAGCUAUUAACAAAAUAAAAGCCCAAUCAAAAUUACUAAGUCCAAAAAGCCCACGUAGUUGGGCCCAGCCUAAAUCCGAAACUAGGGUUCGCUUAUAUAUGCUGCUAUGCGUCCUCCAACCCCAGGCAGACCGCCAUUGUCAUCUGGUUCCGCGAGACACACAGUAUCCGAAGGGAGAGAGGAUUAGGGUUUAGUUUGUCGCAGCUCCACCAUGAGAGCCAAGUGGAAGAAGAAGCGCAUGAGGAGGUUGAAGAGGAAGCGCCGAAAGAUGAGACAGAGAUCUAAGUGAUCGCAGCAGCAGCAUUCGUAGCAGCGGCUUCGCUUCCUUCGCCAAAUUUACUGUCGUUUGGCGUUUCAGUCUCAUCGGUUUUGAUUGUCGUUUUUUUUCUCAGUGCUUGUGUUAGGAUUAAUUUUGAAACUUUUGGUUAUGUUAAUAGCCAGAUUUUUGCUACAUUUGCUAGUCGAAUUUUACUUUGUUUAAACUCAAUUUCGUAUGAAUCUAUUAUUAGAUCUUUGCUUU